AGCAGCCGCGGUAAUUCCAGCUCCAAUAGCGUAUAUUAAAGUUGUUGCAGUUAAAAAGCUCGUAGUUGAAUUUUAGGCCUGGCCAGGCGGUCCGUCUUUGGCGAGUACUGUCUUGUUGUCGGGUCUUCCUUCUGGUGAACCAGUAUGUCCUUUAUUGGGUGUGUUGGGGAGCCAGGACCAUUACCUUGAAAAAUUAGAGUGUUUAAAGCGGGCUAUUGCUUGAAUAGAUUAGCAUGGAAUAAUAGAAUAGGACGUUGUGGUUCUAUUUUGUUGGUUUCUAGGACCACCGUAAUGAUUAAUAGGGAUAGUUGGGGGCAUUAGUAUUCAAUUGUCAGAGGUGAAAUUCUUGGAUUUAUUGAAGACUAACUAUUGCGAAAGCAUUUGCCAAGGAUGUUUUCAUUAAUCAAGAACGAAAGUUAGGGGAUCGAAGACGAUCAGAUACCGUCGUAG
rnacentral:rRNA from 1 species